CCCAGGCUGGCUGAGAUUUGUGCUGAAAAGGCAAAGUUGCAGCAAAGUAGCCGGGGGCCAUAUCUGCUUUCUAUGAAUUUCAGUGGAUAGAACCAGUGCUGGAUGUUGCUCACUGACCCAGUUCCAAAUCCCAGGGGAAGCAUGGGCCGUGAUACGGGGACAGCUGCUUGGAGAGUGGGUGAUGGAAGACUUGCAUGAUUUAUUUAUUUCCUGGGAAAUAAAAAGGAAGAAGAAAAGAAUUGUUGGAUAAAAUCAGCAUAUUCCAGGCUAAACUGUGCUGCAGCAAUUCCUUGUGGGACUGGAGCUGAGCUGCUUGGUGCCCUGUAAGGGAGAUUCGUUCCUGCUGCUGCACAAUGCUCUGCAGAGCUGGGGGGAUGUGGGGAAAAGAAGGGUUUGCUCUUACUGAGGGCUCUGCUCUUCAGUGCAAAAAUGCCCUUUUACUGGAGCAAGUUAUCACUUUCCUUUAGACAGGGGCUGCAAUCAGCACCACUGCCCACAGCUCACCCCAUCUCCUCUGUCCCCAGGUACUCCGAGGGAGAGGAAGAGAUCAGGAGAGAGGCUGGCUCUGACCCUCACACCACGUAACAGCACUUUGGAGAAAAGACCAGCUCCCUGCCCUCUGCAGCCGGCACUGAGCACAUCCCAGCCUUGGCACCUGCUGAAACCCUCGGCAAAACAACCCAUGACAGCAACAAACCCACACCACCCAGCUGCCCUCCCACAGCUCAGAGAGGACCAGGCUCUGGGCUAAACACUGGGGCAGGAAGGAAAUUUGCCUGUGUGAGGCUGAGCCCUGGGUCGUGGCCAGCAGCCCCAGCUGCAGGCACAGAGGGAUCGGGGGUCCUGCUCCCAGCCAUGGGGUUCUCACGUGCUCCACAGCUUUCCCAUGGAUGUAAAUCCAUUAAUAAAAGAUCAGUUUGCAGACACAGCUCGCUGUAGAUGACAGCACUAGAGGCACAUUGGCUUCUCCUAAGCACCAGUCUCGUGCUGGGUUUGUUUGGUCCAUUUGUGGCAGGGGAAGAGUUGCUUUCAGCAUUCAGAGAUGACUUGUGUCUGGGAGAAGUAGUGGGGUGAGAUAUAUUUUUGGCUCUAUUUAGCCACAAAAAUUUGGGUUUAGAAUAAAGAGAAAUAUUCCUGUUUGCUGCCAAACUGAGGCAGACUAUUUCUUGUGCAAGCCUUCGUUUGUUUGAGGACUCGGUGUCCUGUUGUAAAAAUAAAUGCUCUGAUGGGAAAUGUC